rnacentral:misc_RNA from 1 species
GAACGCACAUUGCGCCCCUUGGUAUUCCGGGGGGCAUGCCUGUUCGAGCGUCAUUUCAACCCUCAAGCCUAGCUUGGUCUUGGGCUCUGCCGGUAACGGCUGGCCUUAAAAUCAGUGGCGGUGCCAUCGAGCUCUACGCGUAGUAAUUAAACCCUCGCGUGUGAGUCUCGUUGAGUGCUUGCCAGUAACCCCCAAUUUUCUAUGGUUGACCUCGGAUCAGGUAGGGAUACCCGCUGAACUUAAG